AUAAGCAUAUUAAUAGGGAGAAAAGAAACUAAACAAGGAUUUUCUUAGUAGCGGCGAGCGAAAAGAAAUCAGUUCAGCACUAAGUCACUUUGUCUAUAUGGCAAAUGUGAGAUGCAGUGUAUGGAGCGUCAAUAUUCUAGUAUGAGAAAUUAACGAUUUAAGUCCUUCUUAAAUGAGGCCAUUUACCCAUAGAGGGUGCCAGGCCCGUAUAACGUUAAUGAUUACUAAUGUUUCCAAAGAGUCGUGUUGCUUGAUAGUGCAGCACUAAGUGGGUGGUAAACUCCAUCUAAAACUAAAUAUAACCAUGAGACCGAUAGUAAACAAGUACCGUGAGGGAAAGUUGAAAAGAACUCUGAAUAGAGAGUUAAACAGUACGUGAAACUGCUUAGAGGUUAAGCCCGAUGAACCUGAAUAUCCGUUAUGGAAAAUUCAUCAUUAGACUUGUAGUAUUUAAACAAUAUUAUGAUAAUAGUGUGCAUUUUUUCCAUAUAAGGACAUUGUAAUCUAUUAACAUAACUAAAUUUAUCAUAAAAUAUGGCUUAUAGUUUAUUCAAAUUAUUAUGCUUGCAUUUAACAUAGAAUAAAUCAUUAAUUUGAUAAAGUGCUGAUAGAUUUAUAUGACUACAGUGCGUUAAUUUUUCGGAAUUAUAUAAUGGCAUAAUUAUCAUUGAUUUUUGUGUUUAUUAUAUGCACUUGUACGAUUAACAAUGCGAAAGAUUCAGGAUACCUUCGGGACCCGUCUUGAAACACGGACCAAGGAGUCUAACAUAUGUGCAAGUUAUUGGGAUAUAAACCUAAUAGCGUAAUUAACUUGACUAAUAAUGGGAUUAGUUUUUUAACUAUUUAUAGCUAAUUAACACAAUCCCGGGGCGUUCUAUAUAGUUAUGUAUAAUAAUAUUUAUAUUAUUAUGCCUCUAACUGGAACGUACCUUGAGCAGAUAUGCUGUGACCCGAAAGAUGGUGAACUAUACUUGAUCAGGUUGAAGUCAGGGGAAACCCUGAUGGAAGACCGAAACAGUUCUGACGUGCAAAUCGAUUGUCAGAAUUGAUAGGGCGAAAGACCAAUCGAACCAUCUAGUAGCUGGUUCCUUCCGAAGUUUCCCUCAGGAUAGCUGGUGCAUUUUAAUGUUAUAUAAAAAUCUUAUCUGGUAAAGCGAAUGAUUAGAGGCCUUAGGGUCGAAACGAUCUUAACCUAUUCUCAAACUUUAAAUGGGUAAGAACCUUAACUUUCUUGAUAUGAAGUUUAAGGUUAUGAUAUAAUGUGCCCAGUGGGCCACUUUUGGUAAGCAGAACUGGCGCUGUGGGAUGAACCAAACGUAAUGUUACGGUGCCCAAAUUAACAACUCAUGCAGAUACCAUGAAAGGCGUUGGUUGCUUAAAACAGCAGGACGGUGAUCAUGGAAGUCGAAAUCCGCUAAGGAGUGUGUAACAACUCACCUGCCGAAGCAACUAGCCCUUAAAAUGGAUGGCGCUUAAGUUGUAUACCUAUACAUUACCGCUAAAGUAGAUGAUUUAUAUUACUUGUAAUAUAAAUUUUGAAACUUUAGUGAGUAGGAAGGUACAAUGGUAUGCGUAGAAGUGUUUGGCGUAAGCCUGCAUGGAGCUGCCAUUGGUACAGAUCUUGGUGGUAGUAGCAAAUAAUCGAAUGAGACCUUGGAGGACUGAAGUGGAGAAGGGUUUCGUGUGAACAGUGGUUGAUCACGAGUUAGUCGGUCCUAAGUUCAAGGCGAAAGCCGAAAAUUUUCAAGUAAUAAAAUGACUAUAUAUUACAAAAAUGCCAAUUAAUAUACUUGAAUAAUUUUGAACGAAAGGGAAUACGGUUCCAAUUCCGUAACCUGUUGAGUAUCCGUUUGUUAUUAAAUAUGGGCCUCGUGCUCAUCCUGGCAACAGGAACGACCAUAAAGAAGCCGUCGAGAGAUAUCGGAAGAGUUUUCUUUUCUGUUUUAUAGCCGUACUACCAUGGAAGUCUUUCGCAGAGAGAUAUGGUAGAUGGGCUAGAAGAGCAUGACAUAUACUGUUGUGUCGAUAUUUUCUCCUCGGACCUUGAAAAUUUAUGGUGGGGAUACGCAAACUUCUCAACAGGCCGUACCAAUAUCCGCAGCUGGUCUCCAAGGUGAAGAGUCUCUAGUCGAUAGAAUAAUGUAGGUAAGGGAAGUCGGCAAAUUAGAUCCGUAACUUCGGGAUAAGGAUUGGCUCUGAAGAUUGAGAUAGUCGGGCUUGAUUGGGAAACAAUAACAUGGUUUAUGUGCUCGUUCUGGGUAAAUAGAGUUUCUAUCAUUUAUGUUAGUUGCUUGUUCCCCGAUAGUUUAGUUACGUAGCCAAUUGUGGAACUUUCUUGCUAAAAUUUUAAGAAUACUAGUUGGGUCAAACCAAUUAGUUCUUAUUAAUUAUAACGAUUAUCAAUUAACAAUCAAUUCAGAACUGGCACGGACUUGGGGAAUCCGACUGUCUAAUUAAAACAAAGCAUUGUGAUGGCCCUAGCGGGUGUUGACACAAUGUGAUUUCUGCCCAGUGCUCUGAAUGUCAAAGUGAAGAAAUUCAAGUAAGCGCGGGUCAACGGCGGAUAACUAUGACUCUUAAGGUAGCCAAAUGCCUCGUCAUCUAAUUAGUGACGCGCAUGAAUGGAUUAACGAGAUUCCUACUGUCCCUAUCUACUAUCUAGCGAAACCACAGCCAAGGGAACGGGCUUGGAAUAAUUAGCGGGAAAGAAGACCCUUUGAGCUUGACUCUAAUCUGGCAGUGUAAGAGACAUAAGAGGUGUAGAAAAUGGAGAUAUUAGACUUCGGUUUGGUAUCGACAAUGAAACCACUACUCUUAUUGUUUCCUUACUUACUUGAUUAAAUGGAACGUGUAUCAUUUCCUAGCCAUUAUACGGAUAUAUUUAUUAUAUCUUAUGGUAUUGGGUUUUGAUGCAAGCUUCUUGAUCAAAGUAUCACGAGUUUGUUAUAUAAUCGCAAACAAAUUCUUAAUGAGACGAUGCAUUUAUGUAUUUU
rnacentral:rRNA from 1 species